rnacentral:snRNA from 1 species
GGAUGUGAGGGCGAUCUGGCUGCAACAUCUAUCACCCCAUUGAUCGCCAGGGUUGAUUCGGCUGAUCUGGCUGGCUAGGCAGGUUUCCCCUUCCUCCCUCAGUGAUCCAUGUGCAUCCCUCCCGAAGCUGCGCGCUCGGUCGAAGAGGACGACCACCCCUGAUAGAGGAGGACCGUUCCUCAGUCAAGGGUAUACGAGUAGCUGCGCUCCCCUGCUAGAACCUCCAAACAAGCUCUCAUUUUAAAGCACCCUCUUCCCAAUGUGAUCCAUGUAAAAACAAACCUGCAGAUAAAAUUUCACUAAUUUAGUGCCAAUU